GGAAGUAAAAGUCGUAACAAGGUCUCCGUUGGUGAACCAGCGGAGGGAUCAUUACCGAGUUUACAAACUCCCAAACCCCCUGUGAACUUAUACCUGUCUACCGUUGCUUCGGCGGGUUCGCCCGCCGAGGGACCGACAAACAAACUCUUGUAUUUCUAUCUAUAGCAUGUCUGAGUGGAAUCAUACACAAAUGAAUCAAAACUUUCAACAACGGAUCUCUUGGUUCUGGCAUCGAUGAAGAACGCAGCGAAAUGCGAUAAGUAAUGUGAAUUGCAGAAUUCAGUGAAUCAUCGAAUCUUUGAACGCACAUUGCGCCCGCCAGUAUUCUGGCGGGCAUGCCUGUUCGAGCGUCAUUACAACCCUCAAGCCCCCCCGGUGACGGGAACGGGCUUGGUGUUGGGGACCGGCCAACUGGUGCCCUGCUGCUGCCGUGCAGGCGCCGGGCCGCCCCCGAAAUGAAUUGGCGGCCUCGUCGCGGCCUCCCUCUGCGUAGUAGCACAAAUCUCGCAGCUGGAGCGCGGCGCGGCCACUGCCGUAAAACGCACCAACUUUUUUAAAGUUGACCUCGAAUCAGGUAGGAAUACCCGCUGAACUUAAGCAUAUCAAUAAGCGGAGGA
rnacentral:rRNA from 1 species